GACGAACGCUGGCGGCGUGCUUAACACAUGCAAGUCGAACGGAAAGGCCCUGCUUUUGUGGGGUGCUCGAGUGGCGAACGGGUGAGUAACACGUGAGUAACCUGCCCUUGACUUUGGGAUAACUUCAGGAAACUGGGGCUAAUACCGGAUAGGAGCUCCUGCUGCAUGGUGGGGUUGGAAGGUUUCGGCGGUUGGGGAUGGACUCGCGGCUUAUCAGCUUGUUGGUGGGGUAGUGGCUUACCAAGGCUUUGACGGGUAGCCGGCCUGAGAGGGUGACCGGCCACAUGGGGACUGAGAUACGGCCCAGACUCCUACGGGAGGCAGCAGUGGGGAAUAUUGCACAAUGGGCGGAAGCCUGAUGCAGCAACGCCGCGUGCGGGAUGACGGCCUUCGGGUGGUAAACCGCCUUCGCCUGUGACGAAGCGUGAGUGACGGUAAUGGGUAAAGAAGCACCGGCUAACUACGU
rnacentral:rRNA from 1 species